rnacentral:lncRNA from 1 species
GAUGAAUAAAAUCCUUUUCCUUUGGUCCGCUACUUGCUAGUUUAAGGCUAGUUCUGUAAGGUACCGACUUGAGUCCAGAAUCCUUGAUGUGGUCAAUAUCUAGAUGAAAACUUUUUGUUGGCAUAACAUGCGACGUGCACAAUUUGAAUUGUUGUGUUUUUUUUUAUUUAAUUGAAACGGCUGGUAAAAAUACAAUAUUGAUGUGAAGAUCUAGAGCUACUAGUGGUUUUAGACCAUUCUCAGACAAAAUAGCAAAUAUUUGGUAUGCACUGCCUGUGUUUCACUGUUUCAGUGUUUGGCAAGAGCUUGAUGAGUUCAUCACAAUCCACAAACUUUGGAGAGAAACUGCACUACAUAGUAUCUACCUUGAUAUAUCUUAUUUUUACCAACAAUAUGAUGGUUUUAUCAGUGUCUGCAUUUCGUCUGCACUUUAUUUUGGGCAUUAACCCUUGUACUUCCUGUUGUUCCUUUAUGUUUUCAAUGAAGAAGAACCAUAAGGGGAGAUAAUGCAUAGACACAUAGUUG